rnacentral:rRNA from 1 species
UGGGGAAUAUUGGACAAUGGGCGAAAGCCUGAUCCAGCCAUGCCGCGUGUGUGAAGAAGGUCUUCGGAUUGUAAAGCACUUUAAGUUGGGAGGAAGGGCAGUAAGCGAAUACCUUGCUGUUUUUACGUUACCGACAGAAUAAGCACCGGCUAACUCUGUGCCAGCAGCCGCGGUAAUACAGAGGGUGAAAGCGUUAAUCGGAAUUACUGGGCGUAAAGCGCGCGUAGGUGGUUCGUUAAGUUGAAUGUGAAAGCCCCGGGCUCAACCUGGGAACUGCAUCCAAAACUGGCGCGUUAGAGUAGGGCAGAGGGUGGUGGAAUUUCCUGUGUAGCGGUGAAAUGCGUAGAUAUAGGAAGGAACACCAGUGGAGAAGGCGACCACCUGAGCUCAUACUGACACUGAGGUGCGAAAGCGUGGGGAGCAAACAGG